CUACGUCGCAAGACAUGCAUAUGAUAAUUAUGUGCGCAUAUUAUAAUAGGUGCGAUCAUACCAGCACUAAUGCACCGGAUCCCAUAAGAACUACGCAGUUAAGCGUGCUAGGGCGAGAGUAGUACGAGG